AGUCACUGACAUUAGAUACCCCUGUAGUCCAGGGCGUAAACGCUGCAGACUUGGUGUUGGAAGCCCUUUGGGGGCAUUCAGUGCCGGAGAGAAGUUGUUAAGUCUGCUACUUGGGGGAGUACGUCCGCAAGGAUGAAACUUAAAGGAAUUGGCGGGGGAGCACCGCAACGGGAGGAGCGUGCGGUUUAAUUGGAUUCAACACCGUAAAACUCACCAGGGAAGACUGUUACAUGAAGGCCGAGAUGAAGACUCUGCCAGAUUUUCAG
rnacentral:rRNA from 1 species